rnacentral:rRNA from 1 species
GUCCAGACUCCUACGGGAGGCAGCAGUGGGGGAUAUUGCACAAUGGGGGAAACCCUGAUGCAGCGACGCCGCGUGGGUGAAGAAGUAUUUCGGUAUGUAAAGCCCUAUCAGCAGGGAAGAAAGAAGACGGUACCUGACUAAGAAGCCCCGGCUAACUACGUGCCAGCAGCCGCGGUAAUACGUAGGGGGCGAGCGUUAUCCGGAUUCACUGGGUGUAAAGGGAGCGUAGACGGCCGUGCAAGCCAGGAGUGAAAGCCCGGGGCCCAACCCCGGGACUGCUCUUGGAACUGUGCGGCUGGAGUGCGGGAGGGGCAGGCGGAAUUCCUGGUGUAGCGGUGAAAUGCGUAGAUAUACGGAGGAACACCAGUGGCGAAGGCGGCCUGCUGGACAUUAACUGACGCUGAGGCGCGAAAGCGUGGGGAGCAAGCAGGAUUAGAUACCCCCGUA